rnacentral:rRNA from 1 species
GCCGCGGGAUUAGAGUUUGAUCCUGGCUCAGAACGAACGCUGGCGGCAGGCUUAACACAUGCAAGUCGAGCGCCCCGCAAGGGGAGCGGCAGACGGGUGAGUAACGCGUGGGAACAUACCCUCCGGUUCGGAAUAGCUCAGGGAAACUUGGAUUAAUACCGGAUACGGCCUAGCGGCGAAAGAUUCAUCGCCGGAGGAUUGGCCCGCGUCUGAUUAGCUAGUUGGUGGGGUAAUGGCCCACCAAGGCGACGAUCAGUAGCUGGUCUGAGAGGAUGAUCAGCCACAUUGGGACUGAGACACGGCCCAAACUCCUACGGGAGGCAGCAGUGGGGAAUAUUGGACAAUGGGCGCAAGCCUGAUCCAGCCAUGCCGCGUGAGUGAUGACGGCCUUAGGGUUGUAAAGCUCUUUCGCUAGGGACGAUAAUGACGGUACCUAGACAAGAAGCCCCGGCUAACUUCGUGCCAGCAGCCGCGGUAAUACGAAGGGGGCUAGCGUUGUUCGGAAUUACUGGGCGUAAAGCGCGUGUAGGCGGGCGUUUAAGUCAGGGGUGAAAUGCCAAGGCUCAACCUUGGAACUGCCUUUGAUACUGAAUGUCUUGAGUCCGGGAGAGGUGAGU